GGGCUCAGCCGAGGCCCAGGGCGGCUUCUGACGGCCCCGGGCCCACCGCCACCUACCCGCGGCCAUCGCCUCCCUCCCGAGCUUCGCGCCGCCCCCUACAGGCCGCGGGGACCCGUCCGGGCUCGGGUCGCCGUCCCAGGCCGGGUCAGCGGUCCCAGGUCGGACCCCACCGCCAACUGUCAGUCAUCCGAAGCCAUCCCCAUCCCGAGGGCACAGCGUGCACGCGGGUCGCGGGCGGACUGACGGUUCUGGGGCCGUGGGCUUGGCCGCUGCACCUCGUGUCCAGCCUCAACCCGGCACUCGGAACCCGGUCCCUUCCCACCCAGCUCCCGCUGGGCUUCCUCGGUGGAGCAGACCCAUUCUAUGUGUAGAAAAGAUCCCCCUUGCGCGUCCUUGGACUGCCAAACUCAGUGGACAUGACUGGUUGCCAGGAUCUGGGGUUGGGGUGGGAUGGCUGGCAGGCAUUGAGAGGUGGAAGUCAUCUGCAGAGUUUAUUCGGUGCCUCUGGGUUGUCCCAGGGGUCUAUCACUGUAGUCCCAUCCUGUCGUGUCCUUCCUAAUCCUGCCUCCAAGGAUGCUUGCUUGUCCAGCCCCUCGUGGGUACCAUCCAAAUCAGGCACAUCUUUUGGGACAGAAUCAAAAACCAGUAAUGAACGUACCGUUCCCACAUGCAAAUACUUUCCCUAAACCUCCAUUCCUGGAGCCAAGGAAGAGGGCAGGACCGUUAUACAGCCUAACAGAAGCACUAAGCAGAGCGGCAGGACCACAGCACUGGGUGGUACCAGAGGCUCCACCCACCUCUCCAUCCCAGGUACCCUGAGGGCCAGCCUCAUGCCUGGCUCUGGCACCCCAGUUUUUCUCUCACUGUGCAUUUCCUUUUCGUUUCCCCAGGCACAGAAGACAUUGAGAGCCCACGAGGACUGAACUUAGAGACUUUGCCCUCAUUAGCAUGAUGUGGUAGCAAAUUGCCAAGAGGCCUCUAAGGAAAUAAGCUUCACCCUUGCCCCAGAAGCAACAUCAAAAUCCUUCCCUGUUAUUCUUGGGGUGUCUUAAUUCUUCUGAUCCUCUGGCAUGCUUUUGUAACCCACUGGACAACUCGAACUGGGCCAGUACACUCUGUGGAUAGACAACCUUUGAAUUGUUUUUCCGACCCACCCUUCCAUGCUAACUCUUUGCCUAGUUUAACUUCAAAAUCUUUUUGUCUUGUGACAGUUUUGCCGGAAAAGACUUCCAAAUAAUUCACUUUCUCAUUUGCUUUAUCAGAUUUGUGGUCAUAAUCUCCUGUAUGUUCUAAGAGAGAGGCAGCAUGCAGGGGUCUUGCUGUUGAAGCUCUCUAAUUCUGAUGUUUUCAACAAUCACCUGGAAGGUCCUGCUCCUUCUGCAGUAGACUCUAAUUCUCUGCAUUUUACAUGUCAAUAGCAGAACGCUGGGCCCAACAAAGACUCAACUCUUCCCUUGAGUGCUCUGAGCUGAAUUCCCAACAGAUCAUAUGAACGAGAUUUCGUUGAAAUAAACUUGGCAUUUAAAUUAAAAUGUUCCCCAAAGCAUCUUGGCAGAGCAGUAACUAAUGAUGGCAGAAGUCUGUGCCAGGUUUGGAUUUAUCCUGGACCUAAGUGCUUGUCUCCCACAAGCCACUGCUCACACGUGUCAGAGAGGUCCUUGUUCCACCAUCAGCCAAAUGGUUCUUGACACAAGAAGCACCUCAGUGUUCUCCUGUCUCUGAGGAAGCCAUGAACAUACUGCUGAGUGCACUGUCGUUCAACCAGUGUGGGACAGCAGUGUGCUGUAGCGGAGACCCUUGUCAGCUGGUCCCUACUUCCAUGGAGAAAGGCUGGCCCAAGCAGACAGCUUCCUCUCAAAAAUUUUCCAGAGAUUUGGAAAUUAUCCCACAAAUCUGGAAUAUAAAACUUGCUAUGUACUCAGUUGAUUUUCUUAGAGAUAUCACAAAAUGAAAAAGAUUUAGGGGUGUUUAUUGCUAAUGUUAUUAUUAACAUUUUUGAGACAGUCUCUCACUUACUGUAGUCCAGGCUGACCUGGAACUCACUUGUCCCAAACUCUUGGUAAUCCUCCUGGGUUCUGGGAUCACAGACAUGAACCACCAUGACCAUCUUUAUUCUUUGUAACAUUUAUGGAAAGACCUGUUUUCUCCUCUUCCACCUUCAAUGGCAUGAUAAGCAAAAGCUUAGGGAAAUCCUUCUGAUUUUGAAUUUUUGUGUCGUGUUAACAUGACUUUUAAUGGCAUUGAUUUCCAUGAAUGUUAGCAGUCAAUGUCCAGUGUGCAGUGCGUUGCUCCCAGCCCACUUCCCUUCAUCUACCCAUCUCAUACUGUCAACCUUAGAAACUUUUCAUCUCUGAAACCUGAAGCUAGGGACCCACUGUCUAGCCAGAAACUUUACCAUUUCAUCAGACUGUGCUAGUGUGUUCUCUGCUGCUGUAAUAAAAACCGUGAGCAAAAGUCACUUGAAGAAAAGGUUUAAUUUACCUCACACUUCCAGGUCAUGAGUCAUCACUGUGUGAAGUCAUGACAGGAACUCAAGGCAGAAGCUAGGAGCAGAACCCAUGGAGGCACACUGCUUGCCUGCUCACUCACAGUCUUGUGCUCUGCUGGCUUUCUUAUACAGCCCAGAUCGAUCCACUUGCCUAGGGACUGUGCCGCGGUGGGCUGGGCCCUCCCACAUCAGUCAUUAAACAGAUAAUCUCUCACAAGACACAGACACAGGCCACUCUUAUUUGGGGAAUUCCUAAACUGAAGCUUUCUCUCCCCCAGAUGAUUCUAGGUUGUGUCAAGUUGACCCUGAAAACUGAGCAGCACAAGCCCCACCCCGGAUAUCCCAAACCCACCUGCCAGUCAGCAUGGCUGUGCAUCCUCCACCCCAUCCCAUUCUCAGUCCCUCGGCUCUCUUACAUUGUUUCCCUGCCCAGGGGGAAGGAAAAUGCCCAACAGCACCAGGGACCCCACUGAGGGGCAGCAGAAGAAAGCCAUAUUCUCACUGGCAUGCUAGUCCCUUCUUAUCUUUGCCAUCCACUUUGCCGAUGUAGAUCUCCACAUAGAUCUGAUCACGG